CAAAUGGGUACCCAUCCCAAAUAGGUGUGGAUCCCAAUGGGUGCAGGCCCCAAAUGGGUGCCCAUCCCAAAUAGGUGUGGAUCCCAAUGGGUCCCAAAUGGGAGCCCAUCCCAAAUAGGUGUGGAUCCCAAUGGGUCCCAAAUGGGAGCCCAUCCCAAAUAGGUGUGGAUCCCAAUGGGUCCCAAAUGGGUACCCAUCCCAAAUAGGUGUGGAUCCCAAUGGGUGCAGGCCCCAAAUGGGUGCCCAUCCCAAAUAGGUGUGGAUCCCAAUGGGUCCCAAAUGGGUACCCAUCCCAAAUAGGUGUGGAUCCCAAUGGGUGCAGGCCCCAAAUGGGUGCCCAUCCCAAAUAGGUGUGGAUCCCAAUGGGUCCCAAAUGGGAGCCCAUCCCAAAUAGGUGUGGAUCCCAAUGGGUCCCAAAUGGGAGCCCAUCCCAAAUAGGUGUGGGUCCCAAUGGGUGCAGGCCCCAAAUGGGUGCCCAUCCCAAAAAAGUGUGGGUCCCAAUGGGUGCAGGUCCUGUACGGGUGCCAAUCCCAAAUUGGAGUGGAUCCCAAUGGGUGCAGGCCCCAAAUGGGUGCCCAUCCCAAAUAGGUGGGUGUGGAUCCCAAUGGGUGCACUGUGGGAACCGUCCUCUGCGGUGCUGUGUCCGAAGAGCGGCAGUCCUGGCAGCCGGAAUGGGGACAUCGGCACCAUAGGAGCGAUCCAACCCCAUAGUGCUGAUGCUUGGACAGCGGCAGCCCCAUAGGUGUGGGGCUGAGGAGGUCACUGUCUGCCCCGGGUGCAUCAAUCUCUCCAUCCUAAACUGCAGAGCGAAUGGUUUGGGUUUGUUGCAUCGGCUCUUUGGGUUUUGCACCAUUGCAGUGCCUGUGGGGCGGUCUGCUGCAUUGGUCCUUUGGGUUUUGCACCAUUGCAGUGCAGUGGGGUGUGUUUGCUGCAUGCAGUGUGUCUGUAGGACACGUUGUGGGUCAGACCUUUGGGUUUUGCACCGUUGCAAAGCCAAUGGAGUGUGUUUGCUGCACCCGGUGUGCCUGUGGGAUAUAUGUGGGUCCGCUCUUCGGGUACUGCACCACUGCAAAGGCAAUGGGGUGGGUUUGUUGCAUUGGCCUUUGAUAUUCUGCAGCACUGCAACGGCAGUGGGGUGUGUUUGCUGCACCGUGUGGCUGUAGGACACCUGUGGGUCGUUCCUUUGGGUGUUGCACCAUUGCAAAGGCAAUGGGGUGGGUUUGUUGCAUUGACCCUUUGGGUUUUGCACCAUUGCAACGUCAGUGGGGUGUGUUUGCUGCACCCGGUGCGCCUGUAGGAUAUAUGUGGGUCAGCUCUUUGGGUAUUGCACCAUUGCAAAGGCAAUGGGGUGGGUUUGUGGCAUCGACCCUUUGGGUUUUGCACCAUUGCAACGUCAGUGGGGUGUGUUUGCUGCACCCGGUGCAGCUGUAGGACAUGUGUGGGUUGGGCCUUUGGGUGUUGCACCAUUGCAAAGACAGUGGGGUGAGUUUGUUGCAUUGGCCUUUGAUAUUCUGCAGCACUGCAAUGGCAGUGGGGUGUGUUUGCUGCACCCAGUGUGGCUGUAGGACACCUGUGGGUCGUUCCUUUGGGUGUUGCACCAUUGCAAAGCCAAUGGGGUGGGUUUGUGGCAUCGACUCUUUGGGUUUUGCACCAUUGCACAGUCAGUGGGGUGUGUUUGCUGCACCCGGUGCGCCUGUAGGAUAUAUGUGGGUCAGCUCUUUGGGUGUUGCACCAUUGCAAAGGCAAUGGUUUGGGUUUGCUGCACCUGGUGCAGCUGUAGGACACGUUGUGGGUCAGCCCUCUGUAUUUUGCACCAUUGCAAAGGCACUGGGGUGGGUUUGUUGCACCCGGUGUGGCUGUGGGAUAUAUGUGGGUCAGCUCUUCGGGUACUGCACCAUUGCAAAGGCAAUGGGGUGGGUUUGUGGCAUCGACCCUUUGGGUUUUGCACCAUUGCAACGUCAGUGGGGUGUGUUUGCUGCACCUGGUGCACCUGUAGGACAUGUGUGGGUUGGGCCUUUGGGUUUUGCACCAUUGCAAAGACAGUGGGGUGGGUUUGCUGCCCUGGGCUUUGGGUUCUGCAUCACUGCUUUGCUAACGGGACGGUUUGCUGCAUUGGUCCUUUGGGUUUUGCAUCACUGCAAAGCAUGAGGGGUGUUCCAAGCAUUCUGCCGUAGGGUCCCUCAGCUUUGGGGGCUCAGGUUGUUGUGCUGUUUCCAAUUCUAAGGAUCCUGAAUGGAAAUGGAG
ensembl:lncRNA